rnacentral:rRNA from 1 species
GCCUAACACAUGCAAGUCGAACGAGAAAGCUCUUCGGAGUGAGUAGAGUGGCGAACGGGUGAGUAAUACAUAGUGAACGUACCUGUGCGUGGGGAAUAACUUUUGGAAACGAAGGCUAAUACCGCAUGUCUCGCAAGAGAAAAGAUGGCCUCUUCUUGAAAGCUAUCGCGCACAGAUCGGCCUAUGCCCCAUUAGCUUGUUGAUAGGGUAAUGGCCUACCAAGGCUACGAUGGGUAGCUGGUCUGAGAGGAUGAUCAGCCACACUGGGACUGAGACACGGCCCAGACUCCUACGGGAGGCAGCAGUGAGGAAUAUUGCACAAUGGGCGCAAGCCUGAUGCAGCAACGCCGCGUGAGUGAAGAAGGCCCUUGGGUCGUAAAGCUCUUUCAGCUGGGAAGAAAAUUUACUGUAAAAAUAUUGCAGUAAGAUGACGGUACCAGAAGAAGAAGCACCGGCUAAUUCCGUGCCAGCAGCCGCGGUAAUACGGAAGGUGCGAGCGUUGUUCGGAAUGACUGGGCGUAAAGAGCGCGUAGGCGGUCCUGUAUGUCGAUUGUGAAAGCCCUGGGCUUAACCUAGGAAUUGCAGUCGAAACUGCAGGUCUUGAAUGCUUGAGAGGGUGGUAGAAUUCCAGGUGUAGAAGUGAUAUUCGUAGAUAUCUGGAGGAAACACCAGAGGCGAAAGCAGCCACCUGGCAAUGCAUUGACGCUGAGGCGCGAAAGCGUGGGGAGCAAGCAGGAUUUAGAUACCCUGGUAGUCCACGCCAUAAACGAUGGAUACUAGAUGUCUGGAGUGUUAACCCUCUGGGUAUCGGAGCUAACGUAUUAAGUAUCCCGCCUGGGGAGUACGGUCGCAAGGUUAAAACUCAAAGGAAUUGACGGGGGCCCGCACAAGCGGUGGAGUAUGUGGUUUAAUUCGAAGCAACGCGCAGAACCUUACCUGGGCUUAACAUCCCUUGACAACUAUAGAAAUAUAGCCUUUCCUUCGGGAACAAGGUGAUAGGUGCUGCAUGGCUGUCGUCAGCUCGUGUCGUAAGAUGUUGGGUUAAGUCCCGCAACGAGCGCAACCCUUAUCUUUAGUUACCAUCAUUCAGUUGGGGACUCUAGAGAGACUGCCGGUGUCAAACCGGAGGAAGGCGGGGAUGACGUCAAGUCCUCAUGGCCCUUACGCCCAGGGCCACACACGUACUACAAUGGCAGAAACAAACCGUCGCCAAACCGUAAGGUGGAGCUAAUCGGUAAAACACUGUCUCAGUCCGGAUUGAAGUCUGCAAUUCGACUUCAUGAAGUUGGAAUCGCUAGUAAUCGCAGAUCAGCAUGCUGCGCUGAAUACGUUCCCGGGCCUUGUACACACCUCCCGUCACACCACGAAAGU